AUCUUGAGAGCGGCGUACGGGUGCGGAACACGUGUGCAACCUGCCUUUAUCUGGGGGAUAGCCUUUCGAAAGGAAGAUUAAUACCCCAUAAUAUAUUGAUCGGCAUCGAUGAAUAUUGAAAACUCCGGUGGAUAGAGAUGGGCACGCGCAAGAUUAGAUAGUUGGUGAGGUAACGGCUCACCAAGUCUGCGAUCUUUAGGGGGCCUGAGAGGGUGAUCCCCCACACUGGUACUGAGACACGGACCAGACUCCUACGGGAGGCAGCAGUGAGGAAUAUUGGACAAUGGGUGAGAGCCUGAUCCAGCCAUCCCGCGUGAAGGACGACGGCCCUAUGGGUUGUAAACUUCUUUUGUAUAGGGAUAAACCUACUCUCGUGAGAGUAGCUGAAGGUACUAUACGAAUAAGCACCGGCUAACUCCGUGCCAGCAGCCGCGGUAAUACGGNAGGGUGCAAGCGUUAUCCGGAUUUAUUGGGUUUAAAGGGUCCGUAGNGCGGAUCUGUAAGUCAGUGGUGAAAUCUCACAGCUUAACUGUGAAACUGCCAUUGAUACUGCAGGUCUUGAGUGUUGUUGAAGUAGCUGGAAUAAGUAGUGUAGCGGUGAAAUGCAUAGAUAUUACUUAGAACACCAAUUGCGAAGGCANGGUUACUAAGCAACAACUGACGCUGAUGGACGAAAGCGUGGGGAGCGAACAGGAUUAGAUACCCUGGUAGUCCACGCCGUAAACGAUGCUAACUCGUUUUUGGAUUUU
rnacentral:rRNA from 1 species